GUUCCACAAUUUUUUUUUAUUUUACCAAUCGAAAGUACAACUAAAAAAUAACAGAUCUACCAAAAAUUAGAAUUUUAUUCGUACGUUUAGUACCUCAAAAACACGUACAAACAUCUAUUGGGCGAGAAAGGGGCGUGGCCAGCCGCUACGUCAUAGCACCACAGGUCGGCUGGCGACCGCGCUCGAUACAAUGCACAGGUCUGCUUUGCCCGAUUACAGAAAGUGUGUUUUAAAUUUAUAGUAUAACGUAGUGUAGUACUAAAGUCUUUCUUUUAUUCAAUAUUAGUGUAAAAAAGACAAGGAAACGUUAUGUAGUGCCAGAAUGCACAAAUACGAAUAAAAAGUCCCCAGAAAAACUAUUUAUUUCUUUACCGUCCGACAUAAAGUUAAGACGAGCAUGGCAGCAUGCAAUGUGAAGACAUGAUUUUGUCCCUGACAGAGGCACCAGAUUUUGUUGUGAAGAUCACUUUAAUGUUGAAGAAGACAGAAAAUUACAUAUAUGUACUUAAAAACUAUGAAAUCGGGAAGAAUAAAAUUAAAAUCAGGUGUUAUUCUUUACAUUUUUGAGUGCCAAAAAAACGAUCUUCUGCUUCAAAUAC